rnacentral:rRNA from 1 species
GACGAACGCUGGCGGCGUGCCUAAUACAUGCAAGUAGAACGCUGAAGAGAGGAGCUUGCUCUUCUUGGAUGAGUUGCGAACGGGUGAGUAACGCGUAGUUAACCUGCCUUGUAGCGGGGGAUAACUAUGGGAAACGAUAGCUAAUACCGCAUAACAAUGGAUGACCCAUGUCAUUUAUUUGAAAGGGGCAAAUGCUCCACUACAAGAUGGACCUGCGUUGUAUUAGCUAGUAGGUGAGGUAACGGCUCACCUAGGCGACGAUACAUAGCCGACCUGAGAGGGUGAUCGGCCACACUGGGACUGAGACACGGCCCAGACUCCUACGGGAGGCAGCAGUAGGGAAUCUUCGGCAAUGGGGGCAACCCUGACCGAGCAACGCCGCGUGAGUGAAGAAGGUUUUCGGAUCGUAAAGCUCGGUUGUAAGUCAAGAACGAGUGUGAGAGUGGAAAGUUCACACUGUGACGGUAGCUUACCAGAAAGGGACGGCUAACUACGUG